GAUAAACGCUGGCGGCGUGCCUAACACAUGCAAGUCGAACGAUCCCGCAAGGGAGAGUGGCGGAAGGGUGAGUAACACGUGGGAAUCUACCUCCUCGCAGGGAACAACCUCUCGAAAGAGAGGCUAAUACCCAAAAGGGUCAGAAAUGAUCAGAGUCGAAAGGCGUGAGGAGAGGAGCCCGCGGCCCAUCAGCUAGUUGGUGAGGUAAUGGCUUACCAAGGCUACGACGGGUAGGGGAUCUGAGAGGAUGUCCCCCACACUGGAACUGAAACACGGUCCAGACGCCUACGGGUGGCAGCAGUGAGGAAUAUUGGACAAUGGGCGAAAGCCCGAUCCAGCAACGCCGCGUGGAGGAUGAAGGCCUUCGGGUCGUAAACUUCUUUAGAGGGAGACGAGAAAGGACGGUAUCCCUAGAAUAAGCGACGGCAAACUACGUGCCAGCAGCCGCGGUAAAU
rnacentral:rRNA from 1 species